AACCUAGCACACCUGCGGUGUGUACCUGCGGAGGGAUCAUUACUGCUUGCUUACGACGUCUCUCUGGGAAACCAGGGCGGCGUUGGGCAUGCCACCCUUGUCUAUUUAUACCAUUUGUUACUUCCCUCGGCGGGGCGACCCGCCGCUGGGGACAACCAAACCCUCUUGUAUUAAGCAUCGAAAAUCUGAACAAAGUCAAAAUAAUUACAACUUUCAACAACGGAUCUCAGAUCGGAAGAG
rnacentral:misc_RNA from 1 species